rnacentral:rRNA from 1 species
AUGCGGAGGGUCCAAGCGUUAUCCGGAAUCAUUGGGUUUAAAGGGUCCGCAGGCGGUCAAUUAAGUCAGAGGUGAAAGCCCAUCGCUCAACGAUGGAACUGCCUUUGAUACUGGUUGACUUGAGUUAUACGGAAGUAGAUAGAAUAAGUAGUGUAGCGGUGAAAUGCAUAGAUAUUACUUAGAAUACCGAUUGCGAAGGCAGUCUACUACGUAUUUACUGACGCUGAGGGACGAAAGCGUGGGGAGCGAACAGGAUUAGAUACCCCAGUAGUCC